GUGUUCCUUUGGCAGCAUAUAUACUAAGUUUGGAAUGAUAUAGAGAUUAGCAUGGCCCCUGCACAAGGAUGACACGCAAAUGUGUGAAGAAUCCUAAAGUACA